UACGUAGGAGGCGAGCGUUGUCCGGAUUUACUGGGCGUAAAGAACGCGUAGGCGGUUCGUUAAGUCUGGCGUAAAAUCUCCUGGCUCAACUGGGAGGGCGCACCGGAGACUGGCGGACUGGAGGGCAUCAGAGGAAAGCGGAACUCCCGGUGUAGUGGUGAAAUGCGUAGAGAUCGGGAAGAACACCUGUGGCGAAGGCGGCUUUCUGGGGUGUACCUGACGCUGAGGCGUGAAAGCGUGGGGAGCGAACCGGAUUAGAUACCCGGGUAGUCCACGCCCUAAACGAUGGACACUAGGCGCGGGGGGUAUCGACCCCCUCCGUGCCGUAGCUAACGCGCUAAGUGUCCCGCCUGGGGAGUACGGCCGCAAGGCUAAA
rnacentral:rRNA from 1 species